AUUGAACGCUGGCGGCAUGCCUUACACAUGCAAGUCGAACGGUAACAGGUCUUCGGAUGCUGACGAGUGGCGAACGGGUGAGUAAUACAUCGGAACGUGCCCGAUCGUGGGGGAUAACGGAGCGAAAGCUUUGCUAAUACCGCAUACGAUCUACGGAGGAAAGCAGGGGACCGCAAGGCCUUGCGCGGGCGGCGCGGGCGGUGGCAGAGUAGGAAGUUGGUGGGAUAAAAGCUCACCAAGCCGACGCACGGUAGCUGGUCUGAGAGGACGACCCGCCACACUGGGCCUGAGGCACGGCCCAGGCUCGUACGGGAGGCAGCAGUGGGGAAUUUUGGACAAUGGGCGAAAGCCUGAUCCAGCCAUGCCGCGUGCAGGAUGAAGGCCUUCGGGUUGUAAACUGCUUUUGUACGGAACGAAAAGCCUCUUUCUAAUAAAGAGAGGUCAUGACGGUACCGUAAGAAUAAGCACCGGCUAACUACGUGCCAGCCGCCGCGGUAAGAC
rnacentral:rRNA from 1 species